rnacentral:rRNA from 1 species
AUUGAACGCUGGCGGCAGGCCUAACACAUGCAAGUCGAGCGGAUGAAGGGAGCUUGCUCCUGGAUUCAGCGGCGGACGGGUGAGUAAUGCCUAGGAAUCUGCCUGGUAGUGGGGGAUAACGUCCGGAAACGGGCGCUAAUACCGCAUACGACCUGAGGGAGAAAGUGGGGGAUCUUCGGACCUCACGCUAUCAGAUGAGCCUAGGUCGGAUUAGCUAGUUGGUGGGGUAAAGGCCUACCAAGGCGACGAUCCGUAACUGGUCUGAGAGGAUGAUCAGUCACACUGGAACUGAGACACGGUCCAGACUCCUACGGGAGGCAGCAGUGGGGAAUAUUGGACAAAGGGCGAAAGCCUGAUCCAGCCAUGCCGCGUGUGUGAAGAAGGUCUUCGGAUUGUAAAGCACUUUAAGUUGGGUGGAAGGGCAGUAAGUUAAUACCUUGCUGUUUUGACGUUACCAACAGAAUAAGCACCGGCUAACUUCGUG